UUCUGACGAGUUCCGGAGUCGUCC
rnacentral:snRNA from 1 species